rnacentral:sRNA from 1 species
GUUGGGUGUGGUCAUGCACACCUGUAAUCCCCACUACUUGGGAGGCUGAGAGAGGAGGAGCCCAAGUUCAAGGCCAGCCUGAGCACCUCAGGGAGACUCUGUCUCAA